AGCGGUUCUCGGGUGACACACUCCAGAAUCGGGCUCCCUCCUGUCUGGUUCCGGGUGCGUCACCGAGAACCGAA
rfam:Myotis brandtii contig166352, whole genome shotgun sequence.